rnacentral:rRNA from 1 species
AUACGUAGGGGGCGAGCGUUGUCCGGAUUUAUUGGGCGCAAAGGGUGCGUAGGCGGCCUUGUAAGUCAGAUGUGAAAGAUCAUGGCUUAACUGUGGUAAGCAUUUGAAACUGCAGGGCUUGAGUACAGGAGAGGAGAGUGGAAUUCCUAGUGUAGCGGUGAAAUGCGUAGAUAUUAGGAGGAAUACCAGUGGCGAAGGCGACUCUCUCGACUGAUACUGACGCUGAUGCACGAAAGCGUGGGGAGCAAACAUGAUUAGAUACCCUGGAAGUCCACGCCGUAAACGAUGAGCACUAAGUGUCGGAUGAAUUUUCGGCGCUGCAGUUAACACAAUAAGUGCUCCGCCUUGGGAGUACGGUCGCAAGACUGAAACUUAAAGGAAUUGACGGGG